rnacentral:lncRNA from 1 species
GAGUGUCAUCUGCCCUCUAAUGACCUACCUGCCCCACGAGCCUCACUCUUGUUUUCUAGCCAUGAAGAAAUAAAGAUAGUAGCAAUAUAUAUUCAAACAGGUCAUAUUUCUAAUAAAGCCUCAUCUGAUUCAGAAUAGAUAGUCCAAUUCCCUGGAUUCAGCAUAUCUUUGGAGAAUUUUACAACACAAAAACAUAAUAUUAUAGAAGCUUAUAUUUUAAA